rnacentral:rRNA from 1 species
GGCGGACGGGUGAGUAAUGCUUGGGAACAUGCCUUGAGGUGGGGGACAACAGUUGGAAACGACUGCUAAUACCGCAUAACGUCUACGGACCAAAGGAGGGGAUCUUCGGACCUUUCGCCUUUAGAUUGGCCCAAGUGAGAUUAGCUAGAUGGUAGGGUAAUGGCCUACCAUGGCGACGAUCUCUAGCUGGUUUGAGAGGAUGAUCAGCCACACUGGGGCUGAGACACGGCCCAGACUCCUACGGGAGGCAGCAGUGGGGAAUAUUGCACAAUGGGGGAAACCCUGAUGCAGCCAUGCCGCGUGUGUGAAGAAGGCCUUCGGGUUGUAAAGCACUUUCAGUCGUGAGGAAAGGGUUGUAGUUAAUACCUGCAAUCUGUGACGUUAGCGACAGAAGAAGCACCGGCUAACUCCGUGCCAGCAGCCGCGGUAAUACGGAGGGUGCGAGCGUUAAUCGGAAUUACUGGGCGUAAAGCGUGC